rnacentral:rRNA from 1 species
GGGAAUAUUGGUAAUGUGCGAAAGCGCGUACCAGCAACGCCGCGUGCACGAUGAAGGCCUUCGGGUCGUAAAGUGCUUUUAGAGAGGAUGAGGACGGACAGUACUUUCUGAAUAAGCCUUGGCUAACUACGUGCCAGCAGCCGCGGUAAAACGUAGGAGGCAAGCGUUAUCCGGAUUUACUGGGCGUAAAGCGCAUGCAGGUGGUUUUGUAAGUUGGAUGUGAAAGCUCCUGGCUUAACUGGGAGAGGUCGUUCAAAACUACAAGACUUGAGAUUGGUAGAGAAAAAUGGAAUUCCGGGUGUAGUGGUGAAAUGCGUAGAUAUCCGGAGGAACACCAGUGGCGAAAGCGGUUUUCUGGACCAAUUCUGACACUCAGAUGCGAAAGCUAAGGUAGC